rnacentral:rRNA from 1 species
CCUACGGGAGGCAGCAGUGGGGAAUCUUGCGCAAUGGGCGAAAGCCUGACGCAGCAACGCCGCGUGCGGGAAGAAGGCUCUCGGGUUGUAAACCGCUUUCAGCAGGAACGAAAAUGACGGUACCUGCAGAAGAAGGUGCGGCCAACUACGUGCCAGCAGCCGCGGUGACACGUAGGCACCAAGCGUUGUCCGGAUUUAUUGGGCGUAAAGAGCUCGUAGGCGGUUGAGUAAGUCGGGUGUGAAAACUUUGGGCUUAACCCAAAGCGUGCACCCGAUACUGCUGUGACUAGAGUUCGGUAGGGGAGCGGGGAAUUCCUAGUGUAGCGGUGAAAUGCGCAGAUAUUAGGAGGAACACUGGUGGCGAAGGCGCCGCUCUGGGCCGAUACUGACGCUGAGGAGCGAAAGCGUGGGUAGCAAACAGGAUUAGAUACCCUGGUAGU